UACGAAGGGUGCAAGCGUUGUUCGGAAUCACUGGGCGUAAAGGGCGCGUAGGCGGCAUGUUAAGUUCGUUGUUAAAGGCUCCGGCCUAACCGGAGUACCGCGAUGAAAACUGGCGUACUAGAGGGUGAGAGAGAGAAGUGGAAUUCCUGGAGUAGCGGUAAAAUGCGUGGAUCUCAGGAGGAACACCAAUGGCGAAGGCAGCUUCUUGGCUCAUUCCUGACGUUGAGGCACGAAAGCGUGGGGAGCAAACAGG
rnacentral:rRNA from 1 species